rnacentral:lncRNA from 1 species
GGGGAAUACACAUGCUGUGUAUUUGUGGGGUUGAAGUGUUCCCAAUGAUCAACUUCAGGCCCAUAGACUCAGGUUAUUUAUGUAAAUAUAAUCAGUCGAAUCGUAGGUACUGUCCAAGGGGAUUAUCACCCCUUGGUUCAGGUCUAUGUCAGAGGGGGUCGCUACCCUUCGGGCAGAGCUCCUAUGGAGCAUUCAGUCUCUCCUAUAGCAGGUCUUAUAUAUACGCCUGCGGGAUGAAAACAUAAGGCUUAAUGAGUCUUUGGGUUGACCAGAGUUUGAGAGUAUAAUGUAUAUAAUUGGUUCACUUCACCCUGAACCCAUUCUCCCAUAAUAAUUUAGUGUGUGUUUUACUUAUUUUCGGGCUGUUCUUUCACCUAACGUGCUUGAAUUAUUAAAGCAAAUUUAUAUAUAACAAUAUAUAAAUUCAAGUUAAUGAGACAACACGUUUGUCACCUUCAAACCUGGUUAUAAUCGCAUAGUAACAGGAUAAGCUUGUCAACAGCCACAAAAAGGCGAUAUCCAAUAGUCCAAAGUUCAAAUGUUUCUCUGGGCAUGUGUAAACCGAAUGAAAGAUCAACUGACCAAUCAUAUGUCAACAACGAACACGCAGAACAAAGGUCAAUGUGAUAAGGGAGUUCACUUUGACAAAUAUCCCAACAAAGAGCAAUGUCUUGUUACCGAGAAAGAAAAUUUCCACCCACCCACCCGUUCAUGUUCCUGGUAUCUGGUGCAUUGCAUGGGUACUAACUAAUGUUAUGCAAGGGCUGUUCAAGAACAAUUUGUCAAGAAAGACUAUCGAACAAUUUUCUCAUGGAAAAUUAUCGCUAUGUAAAUACUUAUAUUGGUUUAUGUUCAAACAAAUAAAAUUUGGUUCGGGGUUGAAGUGUUCCCAAUGGUCAACUUCAGGCCCAUAGACUCAGGUUAUUUAUGUAAAUAUAAUCAGUCGAAUCGUAGGUACUGUCCAAGGGGAUUAUCACCCCUUGGUUUAGGUCUAUGUCAGAAGGGAUUGCUACCAGUCUGGCAGGGCCCUAUCGGGAUACCCCAUUGGGAUGAAAACAUAAGCUUAAUGAGUCUUUGGGUUGACCAGAGUUUAAGAGUAUAAUGUAUAUAAUUGGUUCACUUCACCCUGAGGCUGAACCCAUCCUCCCACAAUGAUUUCGUGUGUGUAAGUGUGUUUUACUUAUUUUCGGACUGUUCUUUCACCCAUAACGUA